AUGAAGCCGCGGCUCCGUAGGGGACGUAGGCGAGAGCGAGCGAGGCGAGCGGGGCGCCCGGGCGCACACAGGCUUCGGGGAGGCGCGCGCCGCUCGGAAGCUCCGGCCUCCGCUCCCCCGCGCCCCGCGGCUGCGGGCGACCGGGCUCGGCUCUUGCAGCCGCCGCCGCCGCCCCCGCCACCCGGAGGACAGAGCAAAAGUUUGGAUCUCGGGGAGGGCGCCGCGCCGAGCGGGAUUGCCCCCAGCGCUGCAAGGAGACCUCAGCAGCCUUCGCAGGUUGUUUUAGAGAGAAUGUGCGAGAAACUUGGAAAAAAGAUCUCUUCUGCUCAGUCCACGGGUCAUAUUGUUGUGUUCAGUUCUCUUCAUUAGAACUUUCAAGAUAGAGAUGAAAGAAUCUCCACAUGCACCUUUGAAGAACCUGAGGGCUUUUGGUUCUAAACCCACUGGAAAAUGUCUGAUGCUCAAGUCCAUAGGUGCAAUGAGGCCUCAGAACAUUGAAACCACCUUUAACAGGGACUGAAAGAACAUUGGAUCCUACAGUGUGGUCAUGAAUGUCCUGCCCAUUGCAGUCCACAGAGGUCACGUGCCUGGGGCUGAAUGGAAAACAUCAGACACAUAUCAGUCCUGAAAUAGGUUCACAUGCUGGUGUCACUCUUAGUCUCAGCUGCCUAUGAAUGUCACUUUCAUGAGAGUCCAAUGUCAAAACUGCCUCUGUGAGAGUUUUCUCUCUCACUGCUCCAGAAUGUGCACUCAAGUACUUAAAAGAAGGAAAUAAUUCAGGGAAUUGUAAAACUCAUCAGACAUGCUAAAGAGGACAUGAGAGAGCAGGGGAAAAAUUUGGAUGAAUAUUGGCCAUAGAAGAUACAGAGAGCUCCUUUUAAGAUUGAUUUCAAAACACAUUCCUAUCCCCCUCUAUACACACCAACCCUUGUGUUGUUUAGUUCUCCCAUAAACAAUUCUAUUCUUCAGAUCUGUCUCUGCAGUUGAAAGCCCUACCCACCUAGCUUCUGACCAGGUCAAUGGAGCAACAAAGAAAUUAAGGACUAAGACUAUAUUGAGUUCAUGAUGAACAUUUAUUUGACAUUUUAUUACAUAGAUGGAGAAAUCUCCUGGUACGGUUUAAUUCUUGCUUUACAAACCCACCCUGAAUUAUCAAAGUUGGAUGUUUUUAUUAUGGUGAUGAUGGAAAUAUGUAGAUUUACAAUAAAAGAAUUCACUUUUACCAACAUUGCAUGACAUUACAAGUUUGUGUGUUCGUAAUAAUUUUAUGAGGUUGGCAUUCGGCCCCCUUGACCAUGGUGGUUAGGUGAGAAGUAGAAGGAAUGUUUUGGAGAAAAGCAAAGAAAAUCUGCAUAUUCAUUUCACCGUAGUCGUUUCCUAUAUUCAACCUUGUAUGAAUGGCUUAAUCUCCCAGAGAGUUAAUUUCCUCUCUGCAGAGCUCAGCAGAGUUGGUGAGGGGUCAGAUAAGAUUAAUGUGUGUGAAACUGUCUCAAUAACAAUAGUGUGUGAUAUUCUUAUAAAGAGGCCUUAUUGAAGUCGAUAACAUUUCUCACUGUAUAAUGCCUUAUGCUGAUAUAGGCUAUUUUUAUUUUAGAUGGCAAGUUAAACUGAGGACCCUGCCCCUCAGGAGCUUUGCUUGUGAGUUUGAUCCAACUUCUGUUGUACCUCUUGGCACUUCAUAGAAUCUUUUUGCAUUCAUCUAAUGAUAGCUACCAUCCUUUGUGAUGUUGUUGUACUUGCAAAUGCUGAAUCCUUUUGCAGCAUAAAGGAGAAUUAGGGUGGGUUGAGUUGAAGGCUUCAACUAUCCUUCCUUGAAACUUUGUUUUGCUGAUGAGAACUGAAUUUAUUGUAAACAAUUUCCACUGAGGACCUUUUAUGAAAGGAAUUUCAUCAAUAUUCCCUGAAAUAAAGUGGCUUCUGUUUUUUUUGUUGUUGUUAUUGUUGUUAUUGUUAUUGUUUUGUUUUGGAGGGAUAGGUUCUCACUAAGCAGUUCAUGCUGGCCUUGAACUCACUUAAGUAGCUCAGGCUGGCUUGGACUCACAGGGACCCUACUGCCACAGCCUCCUGAGUGCUGGGAUCAGAGGCAUGUGCUGCCACGCCCAGUAUAUGGCUUCUCUUUCAGGAUUUAAAAUUUAGCCACAUACGUUACCUGUUUUUAAAAAACAAUUUCAACAGAAAAUUUGAUGAUUUAAAAAAAGUUUGUUUUGCAAAAUAAGGCAGACUGAUGUAAAACACCACCUCUUCAGUGUGUUGGCAAGGAGUAUAAAGAUUUGAUAUAUUAGGAUCCCGAUAUGGAUUCCAAAGGUAUGUCUUAUUUUCAUGGUACUAGUAUCACUAGACUCUAGUGGAAAGGCUUUUUCCAUUUUCUGUACAUUUUGUUCAGUUGUAUUUUUACAGUUAGAUGUGAGACACUUAAUUUUAAGUGUUCCAAAAGUGAUUGUGCCUAUUAAAUUUGCUAAUUUGUAUAAAUUUAGGCCUUGGUAAAGGUUAACUCUUAAUUGUUUCAUGUUGCUUAGGGGAAGGCUUCCAAAACACUUGCAUAUGUGAAACAUGCAUCUUGAAAAUGUGUGAACAUGAUUAGGCUGUGAUUCUUGAUCAGAAUGAAUAUUUCAGUCACUGAUGUGAGGUACCAAAUCUUUAUCCAACAAUGUUCCCUUCCAUUUCUGAUUUGUUAUUUUUGAAAGUUCUGAAACUUGCUUUUAUUUUUUUCAGGUGAUUGGUGUUUUGUAGUCCACUGUAAAGUACAUAGCCAUAGAAAUUUAUUUUAACAUGAAAAAUUACUUUCAUAGCUGGACAAAAUUAAUCUAAGUAUCUUUUUGUUCUGGCAUUGUUGAAUGAUGUAAUACUAUUUUAAGAAAGAUAAUGUUCUCUGUUACUCUGAGGAGUUCUGCUAAUACAAUGAGAAGUAUCUGUAGGCAUAUGCAUGGGGAUUUAGAGUGUGUUUGUGUCUACCUUUGAAAUGCACAGAUUUAAGAUUGAGAUACAUGAAGAGGGAGGGUUGCUUCCCCUUACAGCUGGGCGGUGCUAAUCUAAUUUAGCCCCUAUCUCUUUGAUAUAAUAAAAUAAUGAGAUAAUCUGACUUAUUUUAAAUUGGAGAUUAAGGAAACUUUAAAUGAAGAAAACAACAAAAUGGAACCAGAGAAUAGACGUCUGUGUCAUUGGUGUGGUCCUGAUAAAGAUCUUAUUUCUGUAGGAGCAGAAGGUGUUGAAGAAACAUUACUCAUGAAUUCAUGAGAUGAUCGGUAGCCUUUACCAUGUAGCAGGCAUAGACUCCAGGCUCAGACCUACAGUAAGACUGAAGAGUGCAAACGUAGGUAAGGCAGAGCCCCUCCACUUAAGGAUAACAGGCUAUUGAGGAGAGCGAAAUACAGGUACAACUGCAUCUCUCACUUAUACAUGAUGGAAAACAGUGCAGGCAACACUGUUAUAGCAUCUCCAGUGCAUAUUAUUUGUGAAAAGAACUACAUUUGGAGGGAGAGAGUCUCAGGUUCUAUUGCUGCCUCUGGCUCUUGUUCACUUUAUAAACGGGACCAAAUUUUUAAAUGUCUUUAGUCCUUGUUUCAACUAGAACGUGGAGAGGCCCAGCAUCAUAGCUUGUGGAGGAGCACUUGUUUAGCAUGAGCGGGUCUUGGACUCAAUCCCCAGCCCCACAAAAACAAUACGAAAAGAAAAAGAAAAAAACAGAAAGACAACAAUGUAGAAAAUAUUUUCUACUCACAAAGCUAUUUUUCUAAGAUAAUUAUGGAAAAUAUCAGCACAAAGGACUGGCUUAAUAAAUGCUGACUACACGACUACAGGUCACCUUGUCCCCAAAAUGCUAUCUAUUCCCUUAUAUCACCUUUAUUGCCUACAAAUAUUUUUAUCAUUUCCCUGGAAACCAGAAGAAGGCUUUUGACUUGUUGAACAUGACACAGCUUUUUCCACAAAAUGGUUCCAUUGUUCAUGUGCCUAACAGAACAUGAAAAGGGCAAGAGAGGAAAUAAGCAAUUCAUGCAGCAAUGAAAUGCGCGUACAGCUAGCUAGUGGUGUGUAAUGUGAGAUGAUCGCUCAAGAGGGAACCAGGGAAAAGAGAAGAGUGAAAGGAGAAGAAGCUCUCUCUCUCUCAAGUAGGGACAUCAAAAAGUGGGCUCAGACAGGUCCUGCCGAACUUGACAUUUUUUCCUUCAUUGGAAACAUCAUCUUUGCUAAUUGAAAGUUUUGUCUGCACCCGCCCUUGGUCACCGAAAUGUAUCCUUCCACGGAGGACCAGUGUCUAUGAUUUGUGUGGAGUCGUGUGUCUAGACAAAGACCUAGCACGGUGAGCUGUGGUUGUUAUGUCUUUGCCAAGGUGCAGAGAUUUUUAUCCAAGCGAAUUUUAAACACUUGCUUCACACAAUUCACUGCAUACAUGACUCUUGGCAGUCAUGAAAACAUUUUAUUGUAGAAGAUUAACACAUAAAUUAUUGUUAUGCUUACUUAAUGCUUAUUCUGUCCUUACAGAAUGGUUGUACCUUGCUUAUAUAAUGGGAGGCAUUAGAAGUGGAAUGUUGCUGUUGGUUUACCAGUCCAGUGUGGAAAUAUUUCCUUCAGAAGGUAAUUUUCAGCUAAUGUAAAUAAAGGAGCUUCUUUCUGCUUUUAUACCAAAAACUUCCAAACAAAUAAUCACUGGUCCAAUGCACUAGCAAAAUAUGCAAUUAAUCUAUCAUUAUCAUCAAAAACAUAUAGUAUAAUUUCUGCACUCUAGUCAAUAACUGAGAUUUACUUUUAAAAAAAGUACUCAUCUGUAAAUUUAUUGAUGUAGGACACUUUAAGAAGACCUUAGGUAUACUCAAGGUCUCCAAGUUGGAAAACACAAUAGCUUUUCCUGUGAAGAUCACAGAAUAUAUAAUGUGAUAUAAAUGCAUGUAAUUAAUCAAAGUGGAAUAGCAAGAAGCCGGCACUAGAGUAUAUUUUAUAAGCUGUUAACAUCUUAGUAAGUAGCUUCUGAAACUCAACAGAAAACAAUAAGACCUUGUUUUGCUACUUUAGAAAAUG
rnacentral:lncRNA from 1 species